rnacentral:lncRNA from 1 species
AAUACAGCAGUUGUCUGGGAAACAAGGAAUCUAGAUUCCAGUCCCAGCUUUGCCUUCAGAUUCCUUGAAUGACUUGGCCAAGUGAUUUUACAUCCGGUGGCCUCAGUUUUCCCAUCUGUGGAAUGAAGUAUUGGAUCAGAUGAUCUCAGAAUCCAUUUUGGCACUAAACAUGUUUCUGUCUCCAAAGCAGAACUAGGAAAAGAGCCUAACAUUCCUGAAAGGUAAAUUAAAGCAGCUGGGUGAUUGAGGGAGGCGUGUUCUGAAACGUUGAACUUCCCCUUCAGCCCUCUGCUCCCACAGAAGACUUCCAACAAACUGCUGUUACUAAGUUUCCUGCACCAGCAAAUAACGGCUCACUUCUGCUGAACAUUAGCCAUGUGCUGGGUUUUACAGGUAUUGUCUCUUUUCGGCUUCUCAACAUUCCUGUGAGCAGUGACGAUGAGCAUCAUCCCCACUUUACAGAUGGAGAAAUCUGAGUCCUAGAAAGGCUAGGUCAAUGCCAAAGGUUACCUAGCUGAUAAAGGCAUAGCUAGGAUUGGAAGGGUGUCUGAAUCCAGACAGUGCGUUUUCAACUGCAGUGGCCACAAGUGGACCCAUCUGUGGGCAACGGGCCCUCCCUGCCACUGGUGUAUCCCCUUGUGCGAGGGGAGCCAGAGGAGUGCCCUGAUUUCGAAGCACUCCUGAGUGGUGGGGGUUGGGCCCCAAACACUUCCCUCCCACAAAGCAGGGUCCUGUCUAGCGGAUUGAAGGUUUCAUCUCAAUUCAGCAAACAUCUCCUAAACCCUCGCUGUGGCAAGGCCAGGGAAGGCUCCUCUGGUCUCCCUAACAGGUGGGGAGUCAGAAUCUCCCAGGCCGGCGGGCGGGGGUUGAAUCAGUGCUCCAGCCGAACCGAACCGCCUCCUUCAGUUUCCACCGGGGGGCCUGCGAGUCCGGCUCAUUAACAAGCUCCUCAGCUGACGGCAAAGUACAGCCAGCUUCCAAUCCCUGGGCCAGGCUGAGGGGAAAACCAGAACAGGAAGACUCUGAUUCUACCCUUUAAUGGGGGUGGGACGUGUGUGUGCCUUUUUCUUCCUUUUCCGCUUUCCUGGGGUCACUUCACAGCGGUCCUCAGGCCCAGGUGGAUGUUGAAAGUGGAGCUCUGACGGUGCCUCACCGGCCCGGUUCCUCAGCCCGCGUCUGAGGGCAGGAAAGGAGCCUGGUGCUUUCUCCGUCCUGACAACCUCUCCCCAGCCUCUCCCCUCUCUCUGAUCCGUAGACAGACGCCUGAAAAGAAUUUCUCAGAAAUGGCCCACAGAUGGCUCUGGGCAAAUCGCUUUUUUUGUGUUAAGGCAUUCUUCAUCUACUUUAUAAUUGGGCCGCAGGUUGGCCCUGAUUAAAAACAAGAAGGAAGGGGUCAGUUUCAUCCCUGGUGUUUAUUUUCACCGAUGUCCUCAUGAACGGGCAGCACAAGUUCAUCUCCACCCCCAAGUGGUUUUCAAGCUGAGACUGGUAAUUAUCCAAAAUGGCCUCCUGGUGUGAAAAGUCUGUAUUCCACUUGGGGCUCCCUUAUCCCAUAAAACUCAUUUAAUGUAUGAGCUUAAUUACGUGGCGAUCAAGGGCCUCGGAGGUGAAAGGCUAACUAGCGCAUUAAAUCCUGAGCUGCUCUCGGCUGCCCCAUCGCUUGGCAGAAUUGUGUGGGCAAAUCACUCUUGAAAAGCUCCCCAUCUGUGGGGUGAGUCCCGUACCAGGCACAUACAGCCAGAAACUGUCCCAGGGAGGAUGUGGGGCUCUGGAAGAACCGCGUUCUAUAAGGACCUCCUGCAGGCUGGUCCUGGGGGCAAGGGCGACAACUGCUUUGAGGAGCCCUAGAGGGCAGAACUUGAACAGCUGGUGAACUUCAUCAAGCAGCCAAUUUUGGCCAGUUUACUUAUUCAACAAAUAUUUAUUGAACCUCAACUAUGUGCCAAGCACUGAGUUAGGCGUUGGGGAUACUGGGAUGAGCAAAAUGCAGAUACAGUCUCUGUCCUGGAGCUUAGCAUCUAGCACAGGCAACAGACAUUGGACAAAUGACCAUCAAAGAAAUGUAAAACGUCAGCUGUGAGAUGGUGCCAUGAGAACGGUAAAGUGAGGAUUUGUCUCGGUAAGACUGUGUCAAGGAAAACUCGACCGGCUGAGUAACAGCAGAACUGAGAGCUGACAGGCGAGCUGACCUUGGCAAGCAGGGUGGGGAAAACAUUCCAGGGGCAGGAGCAUCUCAUGCCAAGGCCCUGUGGUGUGACAAAGCGUGGCAGGUGGGGGGAAUCAAAGAAGUCCCCUCCCCCAGGUCAUGGGGAACAGGCACAAGGUGAGAAGACGAGGGGGCAGAGCCCAGACCUAGCAGGCGGGUAGGACCAACUAAAGACUUCUGUCUUGACCCUGAGAAUAACGGAAAACCACAGAACGAUGUUAAGUGGGCGGGUGACAUAAGCAAACUUGGGUUAUGAGAAGAUCACUCGUACAGCCAUAAGACCAUUUCAACUUACCCUAAAGAAGAGCUUUCUAAUGGAGUGCUUGCCCUUGGGAAAGUAACAACAGUGAACACGUUUCUUGGGCUUUACCGGGAGCAAAGCACUGUGCCACGUGCUUUUCAUGGACUGGUACACUCGGCCUUGAGAACAACAUAUAAGUUAGUCAACCCCAGCUUGCCUCUUGGCAGACGACAGUAACAGAUGAGAAGGCGCUUUCUGUGUCAGCAUUAAUGUAUCAUUGAAAGCAAAUCACUGCCAAUUUGUAAGAUGAGACCACCGUCUAAGAGAAAAACCACCGUAUUAUCAGGCUGAAAUAUUUGCAGGGUGACUUAGCGAAGGUCCAGGGAAGCAGGCGCCUUAUUUUUUCCAGCUUUAUUGAGAUAGAAUUGACUUUCGAUAUUGGGAAAACUGAAGAUGGAGGCAGAGACUGCAGUCAGGCAGCUGCAAGGUGAGGAACACCACGGACUGACGGCACCAGCAGAAACGAGGAAGAGGCAAGAAAGGAUUCUACCCAGAGCCUCAGAGAGAGCAUGGCCCUGCUGACACCUCGAUUUCAGACUUGUAGGCUCCAGAACUGGAGAUAAUAAAGCUCUGUUUUUCUAAGCCACCCAGUGUGUGGUACUGUGUUACAGCAGCCCUGGGAAACUAUACACCUUUCUGUGUUCAAAGCAAGUUCUAGUUCAAGCUGAAAGCAGGGCCUCUAGGAGCUGUCAGUUCCUCCUGCCCUCCUCUCCCCACAUUGUAGACAUAAUUCACUUACCUUCUACUUCCUUUGAAUCUUGCUGAACUCCCACGCCUUAUAGAUUCACUGGAAUUCGGUGCUCAUGGGGCAUGGAGAACACUAUACGCAAAUGGGGCAGCAAGGGACAGCAGACACCUACUGCACAACUCUCUGUUCAGGUGCGUGCUCUGCCGUCCCCCCCGACUUCAUUUACAAAAUACGGGUUCAAAGAUAAAAUUCUUUCUUCUUCUUUUUUUUUUUCUUAAAUAGAUCGAGUUAAGAGUCUUUGUGAACACAGGUCCUGGCCUUUGUCAGUUAACUGAAUCCCUAGUUGAACCCUGUACUAUAAGGGAUGUGGCAGAAAUAGGCUCUGUUUCAGGCCCUUUGGUUUGUUUUAGGACUUUUGUUUUUUGUUUUUUGUGGUUUUUUUGCUGAGGAAGA